AUACGGAGGAUGCAAGCGUUAUCCGGAUUUAUUGGGUUUAAAGGGUGCGUAGGCGGAUGAUUAAGCGUGAGGUGAAAUGCCACUGCUCAACAGUGGAACUGCCUCGCGAACUGGUUGUCUUGAAUGCUCCUGCCGUGGGAGGAAUGUGUGGUGUAGCGGUGAAAUGCAUAGAGAUCACACAGAACACCGAUUGCGAAGGCAUCUCACGAAGGGGUGAUUGACGCUGAGGCACGAAAGCGUGGGGAUCAAACAGGAUUAGAUACCCUGGUAGUCCACGCAGUAAACGAUGAUGGCUAACCGCUGGUUUAUUCGGAUCAGUGGCCAAGCGAAAGCGAUAAGCCAUCCACCUGGGGAGUACGACCGCAAGGUUGAAACUCAAAGGAAUUGACGGGG
rnacentral:rRNA from 1 species